rnacentral:tRNA from 1 species
UGGUACAGACCGGGCUCGAAUCGCGGACCUUCCGCGUAUGAAGCGGACGUGAUAACCACCACAUCACUAAACC